UACGUAGGGGGCAAGCGUUGUCCGGAUUUAUUGGGCGUAAAGAGCGUGUAGGCGGCCAGACAGGUCUGCUGUGAAAACUCGAGGCUCAACCUCGAGACGCCGGUGGAAACCGUUUGGCUAGAGUCCGGAAGAGGAGAGUGGAAUUCCUGGUGUAGCGGUGAAAUGCGCAGAUAUCAGGAAGAACACCCGUGGCUAAGGCGGCUCUCUAGUACGGUACUGACGCUGAGACGCGAAAGCGUGGGGAGCGAACAGA
rnacentral:rRNA from 1 species